UACAAGUGCCUAGCGGUGUUCGUGAACGAUUUCAUGGAACUAAAAACGGACACUAUUUCUCACAAACACCACUGAAGCUGCCGACCUCCCUCCGUCUGAUCAUUCAGCAUAUGAACGCCGGCCCGUUCGUUACUUUGUCUGCACAAAUGGACUUUUCCUGGAUAGCAUGGUGAUUGAAAUGUAUGUAUGUGAUCGGAGCGCCAUUCAGUAGUAAUGUGCGCUCAGAUCUAAGCUAUCUGGGGAUACGUUAAAUGUGCAUUCAGUAGUUUACAAGUUAUAUAUUUUUGUGUAAUUUUAUUGUCAUGCCUAAAAUGGAGGGAUCAUAAUGCAUUGUGGGAAUGUUUAACUGUACCUGUCCGUGAUUGGUAAUUUUACUAUUCUUGUCACAGUCUUUCACCAAGUCCCCUAGGGGAGUGUCCACCUGGUGGAAGACCUGCAUAAAUACCGGGCAGACAGCCCACAUUAAAUCAGAUCACUGCUUGACCCGCAACACGGAGCUUUGUCUCGUUCUUGGGGGGAUUUGUAUUCGUAGGAUUUCCUGUUCGUCUAUUUGGUUCGUGGAUUAUUUGGUAUGUUUCCUGUUAGGCUAAUUGGAGCUUUCGUUAGCUUCUUCUCUAUUCGAAAGGUUAAC